GAUGAACGCUAGCGGCAGGCCUAACACAUGCAAGUCGAGGGGUAGAGGAAGCUUGCUUCCUUGAGACCGGCGCACGGGUGCGUAACGCGUAUGCAACCUACCUUUUACAGGGGAAUAGCCCAGAGAAAUUUGGAUUAAUGCCCCAUGGUAUAAUCGGAUGGCAUCAUUUGAUUAUUAAAGUUCCAACGGUAAAGAUGGGCAUGCGUCCUAUUAGCUAGAUGGUAAGGUAACGGCUUACCAUGGCUACGAUAGGUAGGGGUCCGUGAGAGGGAGAUCCCCCACACUGGUACUGAGACACGGACCAGACUCCUACGGGAGGCAGCAGUGAGGAAUAUUGGACAAUGGGCGGCAAGACCUCGAUCCAGCAAUAGCCGCGUGAGUGAUGAAGGCC
rnacentral:rRNA from 1 species